GCCGAAGUGGUGGAAUUGGUAGACACGCUAGGUUCAGGGUCUAGUGCUGGCAACGGCAUGGGAGUUCGAGUCUCCCCUUCGGCACCA
rnacentral:tRNA from 1 species